rnacentral:tRNA from 1 species
GGGCGAUUAGCUCAGUGGCUAGAGCGCUGCCUUCACACGGCAGAUGUCACAGGUUCAAGUCCUGUAUCGCCCACCA